GGUGGCACCAGCAACAACGAUUAAGCAGUAUCAGUGCUAUUCGAAAACCAAAGCUAGCCAACAAAUAGAUGGAUUUCUCAGGUUUGAACAAUGCAUGCCAAAGUUUAUUUAUUUCAUGAUUUUGUGUUGGUUCAGGAGUCUCGCAUCAUCUGUGAUGGAGCUUUUGAGAGAAUCAGGAUUUGCAGGUAUGUCAUCUGUCGUCUCGUGCUGUUGGUCUAUUAACUGCCAAAUUUGAACGUGGGUAGGACCAUGGUGUGCUAGCCCAAGAAUACUGUGAACGGAGAGAUGAACUUCUUGGAUCCCUGUAUGACCUUGCAAAGCAAAUUAUAGAAGCAAAAAUAUCAGGUUUGGUCUAACUCUACGCCACUAUUUUCUUAAUGUUCUUCUUGCAUUUUUAUAAUUUGCAAGUUCAUCAUGUCUCUUUAUUUCCUUGAGAACAACCAAAGCUAGCCAGCAAAUAGAUCGAUUCCUAAGGUUUUAAACAAUGCAUGCCAAAGUUUAUUUAUUUCAUGAUUCUAUGUUGCUUCAGGAGUCUGGCAUCAACUGUGAUGGAGCUUUUGAGAGAAUCAGGAUCUGCAAGCAUGCCAAUGAAAUCUAAUCU
rnacentral:lncRNA from 1 species